rnacentral:rRNA from 1 species
UACCAGACUCCUACGGGAGGCAGCAGUGAGGAAUAUUGGUCAAUGGGCGGAAGCCUGAACCAGCCAAGUCGCGUGAGGGAAUAAGGCCCUACGGGUCGUAAACCUCUUUUGCCGGGGAGCAAGGGCGGGGACGUGUCCCGGCCCGGAGAGUACCCGGAGAAAAAGCAUCGGCUAACUCCGUGCCAGCAGCCGCGGUAAUACGGAGGAUGCGAGCGUUAUCCGGAUUUAUUGGGUUUAAAGGGUGCGCAGGCGGAAUGUCAAGUCAGCGGUAAAAUUUCGGGGCUCAACCCCGUCGUGCCGUUGAAACUGGCUGUCUUGAGAUGUCGAGAGGUAUGCGGAAUGCGCAGUGUAGCGGUGAAAUGCAUAGAUAUCACGCAGAGCUCCGAUUGCGAAGGCAGCAUACCGGCGCCCAACUGACGCUGAAGCACGAAAGCGUGGGUAUCGAACAGGAUUAGAUACCCCCGUAU